rnacentral:rRNA from 1 species
UGGGGAAUAUUGCACAAUGGGCGCAAGCCUGAUGCAGCCAUGCCGCGGGUGUGAAGAAGGCCUUCGGGUUGUAAAGCACUUUCAGCGGGGAGGAAGGCGAUAAGGUGAAUAACCUUGUCGAUUGACGUUACCCGCAGAAGAAGCACCGGCUAACUCCGUGCCAGCAGCCGCGGUAAUACGGAGGGUGCAAGCGUUAAUCGGAAUUACUGGGCGUAAAGCGCACGCAGGCGGUCUGUCAAGUCGGAUGUGAAAUCCCCGGGCUCAACCUGGGAACUGCAUUCGAAACUGGCAGGCUAGAGUCUUGUAGAGGGGGGUAGAAUUCCAGGUGUAGCGGUGAAAUGCGUAGAUAUCUGGAGGAAUACCGGUGGCGAAGGCGGCCCCCUGGACAAAGACUGACGCUCAGGUGCGAAAGCGUGGGGAGCAAACAGG